GCAUCCUUAAAUGUAAGCAUUUGCAUAUUACUUUCCCUUAAAAUUUUUUUCAUUCCUUAAUAUUCUCUUACUUGGAAUCGAGUAGUCUGAUAGAUAAGAAAAUUGUACCAAAAUGUUUUCCUUGUUAUAACACUAUGAUUUUAUUCCAGGUAUUAGCCUUAAAUAUUGUGUAUUUUUUCUUUCUUUAAAAUAGAUGAUCCAUAAUUAUAUGGAACAUUUAGAAAGAACAAAACUUCAUCAGCUCUCAGGGAGUGAUCAACUAGAAUCCACAGCUCAUAGUAGAAUUAGAAAAGAACGCCCUAUAUCAUUAGGAAUUUUCCCAUUACCUGCUGGAGAUGGAUUGCUUACACCUGAUGCUCAGAAAGGAGGAGAGACCCCUGGAUCUGAGCAAUGGAAAUUUCAGGAAUUAAGUCAACCACGUUCUCAUACCAGCCUGAAGGUAAGCUUUAUGCUGCUGAAAUUGUGUCAGUUUAUAUUUCAUAAACUUUCUUAUCCUAAUUGAAGUGCUAGACGACCACAGUAUAGUAAAAUGUAAUUGUUUGUAUACAUUUAGUUUGUAAAAUUGGUUUUUUAAAUUGGAAAUGAGCUCUUACCAAAGAGUGUGUUUUUUACUAUUUUAUUUCAAAUUAUAUAGGAAAAAAAGUGAAGCAUUAUAUCAUCUUGAUUAGUAUACUAAUGACAAAAAUUAAUUUCUAUUUGAUUUAGGCUAUAUGAGUUUAGAGUAGGGUAACUAGUGAACCUAAUUAUAUUAGAAUUGAAAAUCGCUAUUACCAGAAAGUCUUGGUUCAUGUUAGAGGCUUUCCAAUUUAGUAGGGUUUCACUUACAG
rnacentral:lncRNA from 1 species